UACGUAGGUGGCAAGCGUUGUCCGGAUUUACUGGGUGUAAAGGGCGUGCAGCCGGAGAGACAAGUCAGAUGUGAAAUCCACGGGCUCAACCCGUGAACUGCAUUUGAAACUGUUUCCCUUGAGUGUCGGAGAGGUAAUCGGAAUUCCUUGUGUAGCGGUGAAAUGCGUAGAUAUAAGGAAGAACACCAGUGGCGAAGGCGGAUUACUGGACGAUAACUGACGGUGAGGCGCGAGAGCGUGGGGAGCAAACAGG
rnacentral:rRNA from 1 species